AAAUUUUAGGGCAUAUAAAAGUGGCGGUCUGAUAGCUCACUACGGUAAAAAGAAUAUUUGGGAAGCUAGAGAAGAUGGUAUUUACUUCACACAUGGUAAAGAAAUUCCUAAAUUAGAGUAUAAAUGGAGCCCCAUAGGAAAGCCUCCUAGCCCU
rnacentral:sRNA from 1 species